rnacentral:rRNA from 1 species
CCCUUUGAUACUCUGGGCGGCACGCGCGCUACAAUGGAUAACUUAACGUGUUACAUGUCCGCAAGGAUGUAUGCAAAUCACAAAUGUUAUGUCUCGAGUGGGAUAGUUUACUGCAAUUAUAGACUUGAACUAGGAAUCCCUUGUAGGUACACUGAAGCAUAGUGUACCGAAUACGUCCCUGCCGUUUGUACACACCGCCCGUCGUUUCUUCCGACUGAUACUCAUUGUGAAUUGCGGGGAUAACGUUGUUGAAAACCGUUGUAAAUGCUGGGUAUUGGAGGAAGAAAAAGUCGUAACA